UUAAGGAUAAUUUAAACGCUUUCAUUUUAAAAUAUGAAAAGGGGAUUGAACACAUGGGCACUCUCGUUUGUCAAACAUGUAAUUCAACAAUUGAUCAUUUUGAAGACGAAAAGGUAACGGUGUUAUAUUCUAAAUGUAAUUGCUGUAACGAUCAUAAACACGAAGAAGAAUAAAAGAUAAAAUGAAACAGGAUUCCGCAGUCGGAAUCCUGUAUUUUUAU
rnacentral:sRNA from 1 species